UUGGGGUGACCUCGGAGAACAAAACAACCUCCGAGUGAUUUAAAUCUAGACUAACCAGUCAAAAGUAUUACAUCACUUAUUGAUCCAAAAACUUGAUCAACGGAACAAGUUACCCUAGGGAUAACAGCGCAAUCCUAUUUCAGAGUCCAUAUCGACAAUAGGGUUUACGACCUCGAUGUUGGAUCAGGACAUCCCGAUGGUGCAGCAGCUAUCAAAGGUUCGUUUGUUCAACGAUUAAAGUCCUACGUGAUCUGAGUUCAGACCGGAGUAAUCCAGGUCGGUUUCUAUCUAUUAAAUAGCUUCUCCCAGUACGAAAGGACAAGAGAAGUAAGGCCCACUUUACCAAAGCGCCUUCAACCAAAUAGAUGAUAUAAUCUUAAUCUAGACAGUUUGUCCAAUCACAUUACC
rnacentral:rRNA from 1 species